rnacentral:rRNA from 1 species
AUAGGUGGCAAGCGUUGUCCAGAAUUAUUGGGCGUAAAGCGCGCGCAGGCGGGUCCUUUAAGUCCGAUGUGAAAGCCCACGGGCUCAACCGCGGAGGGUCAUUGGAAACUGGGAGACUUGAGUACAGAAGAGGAAAGCGGAAUUCCAAGUGUAGCAACAAAAUGCGUAGAGAUUUGGAGGAACACCAGUGGCGAAGGCGGCUUUCUGGUCUGUAACUGACGCUGAGGCGCGAAAGCGUGGGGUGCAAACAGGAUUAGAUACCCUGGUAGUCCACGCCGUAAACGAUGAGUGCUAAGUGUUAGGGGGUUUCCGCCCCUUAGUGCUGCAGCUAACGCAUUGAGCACUCCGCCUGGGGAGUACGGCCGCAAGGCUG